rnacentral:rRNA from 1 species
AUUGAACGCUGGCGGCAGGCCUAACACAUGCAAGUCGAACGGUAACAGGAAACAGCUUGCUGUUUCGCUGACGAGUGGCGGACGGGUGAGUAAUGUCUGGGAAACCGCCUGAUGGAGGGGGAUAACUACUGGAAACGGUAGCUAAUACCGCAUAACGUCGCAAGAACAAAGAGGGGGACCUUCGGGCCUCUUGCCAUCGGAUGUGCCCAGAUGGGAUGAGCUAGUAGGUGGGGUAACGGCUCACCUAGGCGACGAUCCCUAGCUGGUCUGAGAGGAUGACCGGCCACACGGGAACGGAACCCCGGUCCAGACUCCUACGGGAGGCAGCAGUGGGGAAUGUUGGACAAUGGGGGAAAGCCUGAUGCAGCCAGGCCGCGUGUAUGAAGAAGGCGUUGGGUUUGUAAAGUACGUUCAGCGGGGAGGAAGGGAGUAAAGUUAAUACCUUGGCUCAUUGACGUUACCGGCAGAAGAAGCACCGGCUAACUCCGUG